AAUCAACGCUGGCGGCGUGCCUCAGACAUGCAAGUCGAACGAUUAAACUUUCCUUCGGGAAAGAUAUAAAGUGGCGCACGGGUGAGUAACACGUAAGUAAUCUACCUUCGAGUGGGGAAUAACAGUCGGAAACGACUGCUAAUACCGCAUAAUGCAGCGGCAUCGCAAGAUGACAGUUGUUAAAGCAUUUAUGCGCUUGAAGAGGAGCUUGCGGCAGAUAGGUUAGUUGGUAAGGUAAUGGCUUACCAAGCCUGCGAUCUGUAUCCGACCUGAGAGGGUGGUCGGACACACUGACACUGAAUAACGGGUCAGACUCCUACGGGAGGCAGCAGUCGGGAA
rnacentral:rRNA from 1 species